GUGCUCGUUUCGGCAGCACAUACACUAAAAUUGGAACGAUACAGAGAAGAUUAGCAUGGCCCGUGCACAAGGAUGACAUGCAAAUUCGUGAAGCAUUCCAUAUUUUA
rnacentral:snRNA from 1 species